UCAGACGUGGUGUACGGAUCACGCUCGCUUUCCCUUGACAGUGGCGAUGAGCAAGCGUGACAGCGAGAGUACGGGGUUCAACUCCCCGCGUCUGAC